GGGGGGGGGGGGCCUAUACAUGCAAGUCGAGCGGACAGAUGGGAGCUUGCUCCCUGAUGUUAGCGGCGGACGGGUGAGUAACACGUGGGUAACCUGCCUGUAAGACUGGGAUAACUCCGGGAAACCGGGCUAAUACCGGAUGCUUGUUUGAACCGCAUGGUUCAAACAUAAAAGGUGGCUUCGGCUACCACUUACAGAUGGACCCGCGGCGCAUUAGCUAGUUGGUGAGGUAAUGGCUCACCAAGGCGACGAUGGUAGCCGACCUGAGAGGGUGAUCGGCCACACUGGGACUGAGACACGGCCCAGACUCCUACGGGAGGCAGCAGUAGGGAAUCUUCCGCAAUGGACGAAAGUCUGACGGAGCAACGCCGCGUGAGUGAUAAGGUUUUCGGAUCGUAAAGCUCUGUUGUUAGGGAAGAACAAGUACCGUUCGAAUAGGGCGGUACCUUGACGGUACCUAACCAGAAAGCCACGGCUAACUACGUGCCAGCAGCCGCGGUAAUACGUAGUGGCAAGCGUUGUCCGGAAUUAUUGGGCGUAAAGGGCUCGCAGGCGGUUUCUUAAGUCUGAUGUGAAAGCCCCCGGCUCAACCGGGGAGGGUCAUUGGAAACUGGGGAACUUGAGUGCAGAAGAGGGAGUGGAAUUCCACGUGUAGCGGUGAAAUGCGUAGAGAUGUGGAGGAACACCAGUGGCGAAGGCGACUCUCUGGUCUGUAACUGACGCUGAGGAGCGAAAGCGUGGGGAGCGAACAGGAUUAGAUACCUGGUAGUCCACGCCGUAAACGAUGAGUGCUAAGUGUUAGGGGGUUUCCGCCCCUUAGUGCUGCAGCUAACGCAUUAAGCACUCCGCCUGGGGAGUACGGUCGCAAGACUGAAACUCAAAGGAAUUGCGGGGGCCCGCACAAGCGGUGGAGCAUGUGGUUUAAUUCGAAGCAACGCGAAAGAACCUUACCAGGUCUUGACAUCCUCUGACAAUCCUAGAGAUAGGACGUCCCCUUCGGGG
rnacentral:rRNA from 1 species